UACGUAGGGUGCAAGCGUUGUCCGGAAUUAUUGGGCGUAAAGAGCUCGUAGGCGGUUUGUUGCGUCGGCUGUGAAAUCCCGAGGCUCAACCUCGGGUCUGCAGUCGAUACGAGCAAACUAGAGUGUUGCAGGGGAGACUGGAAUUCCUGGUGUAGCGGUGAAAUGCGCAGAUAUCAGGAGGAACACCGGUGGCGAAGGCGGCUCUCUGGGCAGCAACUGACGCUGAGGAGCGAAAGCGUGGGGAGCGAACAGG
rnacentral:rRNA from 1 species